CAGGAUGCCAACUACAAAAAUAGGAGGAGCAGGCAGCAGGCCUGGGAGGAUAUUGCCAAAAGCAUCUGGCCAGAUUGGAGCAGUUUAACCAAGACAGUGAAACAGGGAAAAGUCAACACUAUCAAAGGCAAAUGGAAAAGCCUGAAAGACGCCUUUAUCCGCCAUCGCCGCAAACAAAAGGAGCAGAGGAGCGGAUCCUCCCCAGGCGGACGCUCCAGUUAUGUGCAUGCAGCACAAAUGUAUUUUUUGAUAUCGUGCACCGAAAUGCGGAGCACCGAUAGUAGCUGGGAACCCAGCCAGGCGCAAGCUGAUGAGGAAGAGGACGAGGG